rnacentral:rRNA from 1 species
GGGUGAGUAACACGUGGGCAACCUGCCCAAAAGAGGGGGAUAACACUUGGAAACAGGUGCUAAUACCGCAUAACCAUAGUUACCGCAUGGUAACUAUGUAAAAAGUGGCUAUACUACCGCUUUUGGAUGGGCCCGCGGCGCAUUAGCUAGUUGGUAGGGUAAAGGCUUACCAAGGCAAUGAUGCGUAGCCGAAUUGAGAGGUUGAUCGGCCACAUUGGGACUGAGACACGGCCCAAACUCCUACGGGAGGCAGCAGUAGGGAAUCUUCCACAAUGGGCGAAAGCCUGAUGGAGCAACGCCGCGUGGGUGAAGAAGGUCUUCGGAUCGUAAAACCCUGUUGUUAGAGAAGAAAGUGCGUGAGAGUAACUGUUCACGUUUCGACGGUAUCUAACCAGAAAGCCACGGCUAACUACGUGCCAGCAGCCGCGGUAAUACGUAGGUGGCAAGCGUUAUCCGGAUUUAUUGGGCGUAAAGGGAACGCAGGCGGUCUUUUAAGUCUGAUGUGAAAGCCUUCGGCUUAACCGGAGUGGUGCAUUGGAAACUGGGAGACUUGAGUGCAGAAGAGGAGAGUGGAACUCCAUGUGUAGCGGUGAAAUGCGUAGAUAUAUGGAAGAACACCAGUGGCGAAAGCGGCUCUCUGGUCUGUAACUGACGCUGAGGUUCGAAAGCGUGGGUAGCAAACAGGGUUAGAUACCCUGGUAGUCCACGCCGUAAACGAU